AGAACGAACGCUGGCGGCAGGCCUCAAACAUGCAAGUCUAGGGGAUGUAGCAAUACAUCACCGGCGGACGGGUGCGUAACACGUGGGAAUGUACCUUUUGGUUCGGAACAACGCAGGGAAACUUGCGCUAAUACCGAAUGUGCCCUUCGGGGGGAAAGAUUUAUCGCCAAAGGAUCAGCCCGCGUUCGAUUAGCUAGUUGGUGAGGUAAUGGCUCACCAAGGCUCCGAUCGAUAGCUGUUCUGAGAGGAAGAUCAGCCACACUGGGACUGAGACACGGCCCAGACUCCUACGGGAGGCAGCAGUUGGGAAUCUUGGACAAUGGGGGAAACCCUGAUCCAGCCAUGCCGCGUGAGUGAUGAAGGCCUUCGGGUUGUAAAGCUCUUUACCCGGGAAGAUAAUGACUGUACCGGGAGAAUAAGCUCCGGCUAACUUCGUGCCAGCAGCCGC
rnacentral:rRNA from 1 species